ensembl:snoRNA W05B2.9 ncRNA
CUGCGAUGAUGAGAAUCAUGCUAAUCAUGAAGAGACUCGUCAGUCUCCAACCUCCAUGUUGUAAAACAAUCGAUAGCUGAGCAG